UCAGAGUGACGCCUCACUUUCCGCGCAGAUAUCCAAAAAAAGAAAGCGGAGUUAUAUAAUGUGGAUCUCAGCUUCCGGCUUAUUUGCAUUUUCAUUGAGCUGCAAGCGGAAAAGCUCCUUUUCCUGAUUUGUCAGUGUAUGAGGUGUGCACAUCACUGGCAGUGACAAUUUUAGGUCCUGUGCUUUUGUGUCCAUGGUAACUGGGAGGGAAGGUGAGGGCUUUUUAGGUGUGUGUGUGUGUGUGUGUGUGUGUGUGUGUGUGUACGUGAUGAGGGAGCAGUUGGCAGACAGUGAGCACACACACACACAGACACAUGCGCUAACACAAAAAAGUAAACAAUCACUGCCCGCCGCUCUGAUCAUCAUCAUCCCGUAUAAUCAGACAUGCUCUGGCUCCUGUCUUUUCUCUUAUCAGUCUGAAUCUGGGAAGAACACAUGUAGAUAAAGUCCAAAACAACCACAGGAACCCGCCUCCGGCCUGAACGCGCCCUCCUCUGCGGGCUGACUGUGAGCCAGCUCAGAGCUGCGCCUCCUGCACUUGUCCACUUCUCCGCUUCGUGGAUGCAAUUUCUUUGUUCGGCGAGGCGAGGUGCUGACGUCAAAAUCGCCUCCUUUGUUUCAAAACGCCUCGGCUGCAUUGUUCCUCCAGCGCGAAUUCUUCAACCUGCCCCUGUUGCCGGGAGCAACAAUGAGAUAAAUGACAAGAUUUCUCAAUCAGCUCAUAAAAGAGCAGCAGAGGAGUAAAGAUGGGGAUGCAAAGAGGAAUUAUAGCGACUGAUAGAGAUGUCACCACGAAGUAAUCACUUCAGCAAAAAGGCUUUUUUUGUCAGAUAUAUUUUAUGUAAAGAACCAGCGAUUGUCUGAUAAACAGAGGUGUUCCUGAAGGGCUGCGACUGGCCAGAUGUGAGAACAACUGACUCACUGCAGCUCCUCAAAUGACAUUAUUUUCUAGUUUUCUUUGAGUUAGGGGUCGUCUCGAAUACAACUUUUGAGCUCCAGAGCAUCGACUAUAAUCAACAGUGAAUAUUCAAAGUUCUGGUCCGGAGAACAGUUGGACUGAAUAUGACACAAUCUGUCACCGUCUGUACGUCGACCAGCUGAUCUGCCGGCUGACUGAGCUUUUCAGGUCUGGCUUUCAGUCCAAAUCAACCAGGUUUAGAGGAGUGUCAGGACCGCUUAAACUGACUCAUUAGACCACGGACGGCCACAAAUGCGUGUUGUUGGCUAAGUUAUUAAAAACCCGUCUGAUCUCUGGUGUUGUUCUUCAACAGAAACUAAAAGCCAAGUUGUAAUAAACCAUGAAUCUCUCUCAAGUGAACCGACUGUAAUAUUACAUGUGUAAAUCAACGGAUACACUCAAACAAAUCCAGAUGUUUUUUCUCUUCAUUUUGACAGAAAAAAACCACAAAAGCGCCCAGAGGUACAAUGUUUCCUUCACAGCCAAACCACCUGUGACGAUGACUCCGGCUCCUCACGUAACGUGGAGUCAAACACCACUUUGCAGUCAUUUGAAGUUGUUCUCUGCAGGUGAAUUCAGCAGUCUGAAGACGCCGCCGACUACAGUUCGUUGUAAAAACGGCCACGCCGGAAGCGUUUAGGGCGUGUUCUCGUCUGACCUCAAGCCUGUUUCGCUUGUGAAUCAAAUAAAAUCACUUUCCAAAGCCGAGCUGGCUGCCACCAAUAAACUUCCCUCGCAGCGGAGAGACGACCUGGUGGUGACGCGCGUCGAGCUGCUCCGUCACAACGAGAGGCCCAAACAUCUCAACGAGGAAAUCCACCUCAGAGUUUUAAAGUCUUCUGAGAGUUUCAUCCCGACGCGAGUACCCGCUCUCGUUUCUUUCACAUCCACACAACACACAGCUGUCACAACACCGAGCCGACAUAAUAACCCAUGUCUUCUCUGCAGCUGUGUGAAAAUGGUCGGGCCACUUUCUCUUGGCGAUGUCAUCAUCACAGCUGCAUCUCUAAAGCCCCUCAGCUUCCUCCCAGGAGAUCCAGGACGAUUACCUUAUCCUGAAGCAGGCCGGGCUAACAUCUCUCCGCCUCUGUGGGAAACGCUCGCAAGAACAGGGCAAAUUCACAAAACGACAACAGCGAAAGAAUUCAGUUGAGCAAAUUUCUUUUUGUCCAUCAAAGCCGCGACAAGUUAUCUGAUUAAAAAAAGGGGGGGGGGGCAGAACGCUGAACUUUGUUUGCUCCCUUUGCUCCAGACCGUGGUGAGAAAGUGGACUCUGCGUUUACAGUCGUCACGGUGUUGGGUAGGAAAAAGUGAAUUUAUCUGACUGUCUGUAAUAAUCUCUCCUCUGCAAGCGAGAGUUUGUGGGUCAAAUCUGCAGCUCCACUUCAUUUUUUUCAUGCCUGCUUUCCUAAACACGGGUAAUUACUGGCUAUUGAAUGUCAACAUCCAUUUCCUUACACCCAUAAAACACAGUGAUUUAGGGUCGUUUCCUGUUGUUUGUUUGGAUUACAUUCCCAGGCUUUCAUUUUCAGCUUAGCGCAGCCCCUUUAAUGUGCAUCCAAGUUCAAGUGUCGCUGUUCGUACUGGAGCCUGAGGAGAAAUUUAUCAGCGUUUUAGAAAGCCGAUUAAUCGUUUCAGACGUUUUGUUAAAGCAGAAGUAUCAUUUAGUGGUUCAAGUCAGUCAAAUCUGUGCUGUUUUCUCUGUUUGUUUGAUCAGAAUGUGAAUACCUAAUAUGGAUUUGGAUGCUUAAGGAACUUUUGUCAUUUUUAAAUAUUUUCUGACAUUUUAGAGACAAAUUCAUUCAAAAACUACCAUAACUGGCAGUAAAGAAAAUGAAGAAAAGCUGCAGCUGCGGUUCCUGAAGCCUGAACCGAACCAAACCCCAUUAGAAAAACUCCACAUUUUCAAUAAAACGCUUGAGACAGACUAUUUUUAGACUCUUUUUCUUACUCUAGAGAGUCAUAAUUUGGAGCAGCAGGAAGUGAGCAUCCACACUGAACCUUAAAGAUCACCGAUUUCUCAUAAUUAUAUUAUGUGAUUAUAAAAUAAAUAUCUUUGGGAUUCCAGACUGUUUUUGGAACAAACAAGCUGAUUGAAUACGUCAUCUUUGUCAUAUUAAACCAUUUUCUGACAUUUUAGACAAAAUGAUUAAUCAAUUCAUUGGGAAAAUCCGAUUAU